GAUGAACGCUGGCGGCGUGCCUAAUACAUGCAAGUCGAGCGAACAGACGAGGAGCUUGCUCCUCUGACGUUAGCGGCGGACGGGUGAGUAACACGUGGAUAACCUACCUAUAAGACUGGGAUAACUUCGGGAAACCGGAGUUAAUACCGGAUAAUAUAUUGAACCGCAUGGUUCAAUAGUGAAAGACGGUUUUGCUGUCACUUAUAGAUGGAUCCGCGCCGCAUUAGCUAGUUGGUAAGGUAACGGCUUACCAAGGCAACGAUGCGUAGCCGACCUGAGAGGGGGAUCGGCCACACUGGAACUGAGACACGGUCCAGACUCCUACGGGAGGCAGCAGUAGGGAAUCUUCCGCAAUGGGCGAAAGCCUGACGGAGCAACGCCGCGUGAGUGAUGAAGGUCUUCGGAUCGUAAAACUCUGUUAUUAGGGAAGAACAAAUGUGUAAGUAACUAUGCACGUCUUGACGGUACCUAAUCAGAAAGCCACGGCUAACUACGUG
rnacentral:rRNA from 1 species